rnacentral:rRNA from 1 species
UAGGGAAUCUUCCACAAUGGACGCAAGUCUGAUGGAGCAACGCCGCGUGAGUGAAGAAGGUCUUCGGAUCGUAAAACUCUGUUGUUAGAGAAGAACACGAGUGAGAGUAACUGUUCAUUCGAUGACGGUAUCUAACCAGCAAGUCACGGCUAACUACGUGCAG